AUUCUGAAUAUAACUAACUUCCUUCCUUCCUUCCUUUCUUCCUUCCUUCCAUCCUUCCUCCCUCCCUCCCUCCCUGCUUUCCCUUCCUCCCUGCCUUCCUUCUUCCUUCCUCUCUUUUUUCUUUUCUCCCUUCCUUCCUUCUUAAUAUGUUUUUGGCCUUUUCUUUAUAUAUGUGGCCUAUCAAUAUCAUGUGUUUGGAAAAGCAUAAACUUAAGGCAUCACCUUUACAGAAAAUAUCUUCCAUGGAAACAUCUAAAGGCCACAGAUCAGCCCUGGGGUUCAGAGGGAUCCUGACGGCUACUCCUCAAGAUCCUCUCUGUUGUGAUUCAUCCCCCCCAGGCCCUACAGUUUCUCCUUCCUGACUCUUACAUUUCUUUGGAUGGCAUCACUAUUUACCUGUCUCCUCCCAUAGUUAGUUGCCAAGCACUGUGGAUUCUACCCCUCAGGGUCCAGACACCCAUUUUCCUUCCCACUGUUCCCUCCCCAUGGAGAAGCCUGUGGCUGACUGACAGCUCAACUUGGAGAAGGUGUUACCUGGGCCAGGUGGGGAAGGUAGGGUUGUUUGCAGAGCAAAGAAGUGAAGGAAGUAUUAACCCUUUGCAUGGCCUCCUGAGAAUCUGACAAGACGUAAAUAGCCAAGAAUAUCUGUGGAACUUAAUCAGUGAGUUACAAUAUUUAUCACUGCAAGUGUGUUGUUCAUUGACACUAUAAAGCCAUAUGGAAUUAAGCAGCCUUGAAACACAAAAUGGAGAAAGGCUAAGAGCUGAGAAUUGUU
rnacentral:antisense_RNA from 1 species